GUCUAUGGUCCUACCACCCUCAACAUACCCGAUCACAUCUGAUCUCAGAAAUCUCAGAAGCAAAACAGGGUCAGGCCUGGUUAGUACUUGGAUGGGAGAAUUUUUAAACCUGUUGAAA
rnacentral:rRNA from 1 species